GAUGAACGCUGGCGGCGUGCCUAAUACAUGCCAGUCGAGCGAACAGACGAGGAGCUUGCUCCUCUGACGUUAGCGGCGGACGGGUGAGUAACACGUGGAUAACCUACCUAUAAGACUGGGAUAACUUCGGGAAACCGGAGCUAAUACCGGAUAAUAUAUUGAACCGCAUGGUUCAAUAGUGAAAGACGGUUUUGCUUUCACUUAUAGAUGGAUCCGCGCCGCAUUAGCUAGUUGGUAAGGUAACGGCUUACCAAGGCAACGAUGCGUAGCCGACCUGAGAGGGUGAUCGCCCCCACUGGAACUGAGACACGGUCCAGACUCCUACGGGAGGCAGCAGUAGGGAAUCUUCCGCAAUGGGCGAAAGCCUGACGGAGCAACGCCGCGUGAGUGAUGAAGGUCUUCGGAUCGUAAAACUCUGUUAUUAGGGAAGAACAAAUGUGUAAGUAACUAUGCACGUCUUGACGGUACCUAAUCAGAAAGCCACGGCUAACUACGUG
rnacentral:rRNA from 1 species